rnacentral:rRNA from 1 species
AUUGAACGCUGGCGGCAGGCCUAACACAUGCAAGUCGAGCGGGCAUAGCAAUAUGUCAGCGGCAGACGGGUGAGUAACGCGUGGGAACGUACCUUUUGGUUCGGAACAACACAGGGAAACUUGUGCUAAUACCGGAUAAGCCCUUACGGGGAAAGAUUUAUCGCCGAAAGAUCGGCCCGCGUCUGAUUAGCUAGUUGGUGAGGUAAUGGCUCACCAAGGCGACGAUCAGUAGCUGGUCUGAGAGGAUGAUCAGCCACAUUGGGACUGAGACACGGCCCAAACUCCUACGGGAGGCAGCAGUGGGGAAUAUUGGACAAUGGGCGCAAGCCUGAUCCAGCCAUGCCGCGUGAGUGAUGAAGGCCCUAGGGUUGUAAAGCUCUUUUGUGCGGGAAGAUAAUGACGGUACCGCAAGAAUAAGCCCCGGCUAACUUCGUGCCAGCAGCCGCGGUAA